UAUUUUUAAAAUUGAGUAUGGGAUUAGACCAAAUUUUGAUCCACAAAUCUAUGUUUGACCUAUUGGCUCCAUUAGACUUACUCUCAAACCCUUUUGAGUUCCUAAUCUCUUAAACUAUUCCGAUCCAUAUUCAUUUUAGGCCCCAUGAGGCCCAUUACCUUAACCCGAACCCGGGAGGGGUCCAUUAACAAACUUGGGCCCAAUAGGGUCCAUCAACCUAAUAUGGACCCGAUGGGUG
rnacentral:lncRNA from 1 species